AGAGUUUGAUCAUGGCUCAGAUUGAACGCUGGCGGCAGGCCUAACACAUGCAAGUCGAGCGGUAGAGAGAAGCUUGCUUCUCUUGAGAGCGGCGGACGGGUGAGUAAUGCCUAGGAAUCUGCCUGGUAGUGGGGGAUAACGUUCGGAAACGAACGCUAAUACCGCAUACGUCCUACGGGAGAAAGCAGGGGACCUUCGGGCCUUGCGCUAUCAGAUGAGCCUAGGUCGGAUUAGCUAGUUGGUGAGGUAAUGGCUCACCAAGGCGACGAUCCGUAACUGGUCUGAGAGGAUGAUCAGUCACACUGGAACUGAGACACGGUCCAGACUCCUACGGGAGGCAGCAGUGGGGAAUAUUGGACAAUGGGCGAAAGCCUGAUCCAGCCAUGCCGCGUGUGUGAAGAAGGUCUUCGGAUUGUAAAGCACUUUAAGUUGGGAGGAAGGGCAGUUACCUAAUACGUGAUUGUUUUGACGUUACCGACAGAAUAAGCACCGGCUAACUCUGUGCCAGCAGCCGCGGUAAUA
rnacentral:rRNA from 1 species